rnacentral:rRNA from 1 species
AUUGAACGCUGGCGGCAUGCUUUACACAUGCAAGUCGGACGGCAGCACAGAGAAGCUUGCUUCUUGGGUGGCGAGUGGCGAACGGGUGAGUAACAUAUCGGAACGUACCGAGCAGUGGGGGAUAACUAAUCGAAAGAUUAGCUAAUACCGCAUAUAUUCUGAGGAAGAAAGCAGGGGACCAUUUGGCCUUGCGCUGUUUGAGCGGCCGAUAUCUGAUUAGCUGGUUGGUGGGGUAAAGGCCUACCAAGGCGACGAUCAGUAGCGGGUCUGAGAGGAUGAUCCGCCACACUGGGACUGAGACACGGCCCAGACUCCUACGGGAGGCAGCAGUGGGGAAUUUUGGACAAUGGGCGCAAGCCUGAUCCAGCCAUGCCGCGUGUCUGAAGAAGGCCUUCGGGUUGUAAAGUGACUUUUGUCAGGGAAGAAAAGGGCGGG